AGGACGAACGCUGGCGGCGUGCUUAACACAUGCAAGUCGAGCGGUGAUCCCCCUUCGGGGGUGAUCAGCGGCGAACGGGUGAGUAACACGUGGGCAACCUGCCCCUCACACUGGGAUAACCUCGGGAAACCGGGGCUAAUACCGGAUACGACCUCGAGCGGCAUCUCUUGAGGUGGAAAGCUCCGACGGUGAGGGAUGGGCCCGCGGCCUAUCAGCUAGUUGGUGGGGUAAUGGCCUACCAAGGCGACGACGGGUA
rnacentral:rRNA from 1 species